UACGUAGGGUGCAAGCGUUGUCCGGAAUUAUUGGGCGUAAAGGGCUCGUAGGCGGUCCGUCACGUCGGGAGUGAAAACUUGGGGCUUAACCCCAAGCCUGCUUCCGUUACGGGCGGACUAGAGGUAGGCAGGGGAGAACGGAAUUCCAGGUGUAGCGGUGAAAUGCGUAGAUAUCUGGAGGAACACCGGUGGCGAAGGCGGCAUCCUGGACCGAUAUUGACGCUGAGGCGCGAAAGCCAGGGGAGCAAACGGG
rnacentral:rRNA from 1 species